GAUGAACGCUGGCGGCGUGCCUAAUACAUGCAAGUCGAGCGAACAGAUGAGGAGCUUGCUCCUCUGACGUUAGCGGCGGACGGGUGAGUAACACGUGGAUAACCUACCUAUAAGACUGGGAUAACUUCGGGAAACCGGAGCUAAUACCGGAUAAUAUAUUGAACCGCAUGGUUCAAUAGUGAAAGACGGUUUUGCUGUCACUUAUAGAUGGAUCCGCGCCGCAUUAGCUAGUUGGUAAGGUAACGGCUUACCAAGGCAACGAUGCGUAGCCGACCUGAGAGGGUGAUCGGCCACACUGGAACUGAGACGCGGUCCAGACUCCUACGGGAGGCAACAGUAGGGAAUCUUCCGCAAUGGGCGAAAGCCUGACGGAGCAACGCCGCGUGAGUGAUGAAGGUCUUCGGAUCGUAAAACUCUGUUAUUAGGGAAGAACAAAUGUGUAAGUAACUAUGCACGUCUUGACGGUACCUAAUCAGAAAGCCACGGCUAACUACGUG
rnacentral:rRNA from 1 species